AAAAUGCGAUAACUAGUGUGAAUUGCAGAAUUAAAACGUGAAUCAUCGAGUCUCUGAACGCAAAUUGCGCUCCGCGGUCAUUCCGCGGAGCAUACCUGUUUGAGCCUCAUUUUCUUUCUAUCUUUCGAGAUGAAGUGCACUCCCUUCUCUUAUGAGAUAGUGUUAAAGGCAGUCUUAUUAAUUCUUUUUCUAAAAAAAGGAGCAGUGUGCCAAUACCACCUGCGCUUUUUUAUCACAAAAAAAGAAACAUUCUUUGAGCUCAAAUCAGGCAGGACUACCCGCUGAACUUAA
rnacentral:misc_RNA from 1 species